rnacentral:rRNA from 1 species
CCUACGGGGGGCAGCAGUGGGGAAUAUUGGACAAUGGGGGCAACCCUGAUCCAGCCAUGCCGCGUGUGUGAAGAAGGCCCUCGGGUUGUAAAGCACUUUCAGUGAGGAAGAACGCCUGGUGGUUAAUACCCAUCAGGAAAGACAUCACUCACAGAAGAAGCACCGGCUAACUCCGUGCCAGCAGCCGCGGUAAUACGGAGGGUGCGAGCGUUAAUCGGAAUUACUGGGCGUAAAGCGCGCGUAGGUGGCUUGAUAAGCCGGUUGUGAAAGCCCCGGGCUCAACCUGGGAACGGCAUCCGGAACUGUCAAGCUAGAGUGCAGGAGAGGAAGGUAGAAUUCCCGGUGUAGCGGUGAAAUGCGUAGAGAUCGGGAGGAAUACCAGUGACGAAGGCGGCCUUCUGGACUGACACUGACACUGAGGUGCGAAAGCGUGGGUAGCAAACAGGAUUAGAUACCCCUGUAGUC